rnacentral:rRNA from 1 species
UACAGAGGUCUCAAGCGUUGUUCGGAUUCAUUGGGCGUAAAGGGUGCGUAGGCGGCGCGGUAAGUCGGGGUGUGAAAUUUCGAGGCUUAACUUCGAAACUGCAUUCGAUACUGCCUGUGCUCGAGGACUGGAGAGGAGACUGGAAUUUACGGUGUAGCGGUGAAAUGCGUAGAUAUCGUAAGGAAGACCAGUGGCGAAGGCGGGUCUCGUGGACAGUUCCUGACGCUGAGGCACGAAGGCCAGGGGAGCAAACGGG